rnacentral:rRNA from 1 species
GGCCUUUUGAGGAUAAUUUAAGGUCUUACCUGCUCAAUGAUAUAAUUAAAUAGCUGCAGUAUUUUGACUGUACUAAGGUAGCAUAAUCAUUAGUUUCUUAAUUGGGAACUGGAAUGAAAGGUUUAAUGAGAAAAUAACUGUCUCUUUAAUAAAUAUAGAAAUUUAUUUUUAAGUAAAAAAGCUUAAAUUUUUUCAAAAGACGAGAAGACCCUAUAGAGUUUUAUAAUUAAUCAAUUUUUACUAAUAAAGUAUAUAAAUUUAUUUUAAUUGAGGACAUUAUUUGAUUGGGGUGAUUAAAAAAUUUAAUAAACUUUUAUUUAUUGAAACUUUGAUUUAAGAUUAAUUUGAUCCGUUAUUAAUGAUUAAAAGAAUAAAUUACCUUAGGGAUAACAGCGUAAUCUUUUUUUAGAGUUCUAAUCGAUAAAAAGGAUUGCGA